GCUGGGUGUGGUGGCACACACCUGUAAUCCCAGCUACUUGGGAGGCUGAGGCAGGAGAAUUGCUUGAACCCAGGAGGGGAGGUUGCAGUGAGCCAAGAUCGCGCCACUGCACUCUAGCCUGGGUGACAGAGUGAGACUCUGUCUCAA
ensembl:misc_RNA Metazoa_SRP Metazoan signal recognition particle RNA